AACGUAGGAGACAAACGUUAUCCGGAGUUACUGGGCGUAAAGGGCGUGUAGGUGGUUGUGUAAGUUCGGCGUGAAAUCUCUCGGCUUAACCGGGAGUGGUCGUCGGAUACUGCACGACUAGAGGACGGUAGAGGCGUGUGGAAUUCCGGGUGUAGUGGUGAAAUGCGCAGAUAUCGGGAAGAACACCCGUGGCGAAGGCGGCUCUCUGGGACGGUACUGACGCUGAGACGCGAAAGCGUGGGGGAGCGAACAGG
rnacentral:rRNA from 1 species